AUACCUUUCUCGGCCUUUUGGCUAAGAUCAAGUGUAGUAUCUGUUCUUAUCAGUUUAAUAUCUGAUACAUGGACCAUUGGUUCACUAUGAUAUUAAAUUAAUUUUUGAUUGGGGGAGGGCCCAUAACAAUAGCUUGCUAUUGGGGUUCUUAUGCGUCGCCUAUAUGUUGCACUAUUGUAUAGGCCUGGCGCACCCUAC